rnacentral:rRNA from 1 species
GACGAACGCUGGCGGCGUGCCUAAUACAUGCAAGUAGAACGCACAGUUUAUACCGUAGCUUGCUACACCAUAGACUGUGAGUUGCGAACGGGUGAGUAACGCGUAGGUAACCUGCCUGGAAGCGGGGGAUAACUAUUGGAAACGAUAGCUAAUACCGCAUAAUAUUGAUUAUUGCAUGAUAAUUAAUUGAAAGGUGCAAUUGCACCACUACCAGAUGGACCUGCGUUGUAUUAGCUAGUAGGUGAGGUAACGGCUCACCUAGGCGACGAUACAUAGCCGACCUGAGAGGGUGAUCGGCCACACUGGGACUGAGACACGGCCCAGACUCCUACAGGAGGCAGCAGUAGGGAAUCUUCAGCAAUGGACGAAAGUCUGACCGAGCAACGCCGCGUGAGUGAAGAAGGUUUUCGGAUCGUAAAGCUCUGUUGUAAGAGAAGAACGGGUGUGAGAGUGGAAAGUUCACACUGUGACGGUAUCUUACCAGAAAGGGACGGCUAACUACGUG